CAGUCGCCACGGUAAUACGGAGGGGGCUAGCGUUGUUCGGAAUUACUGGGCGUAAAGCGCACGUAGGCGGCUUUGUAAGUUAGAGGUGAAAGCCCGGGGCUCAACCCCGGAAUUGCCUUUAAGACUGCAUCGCUUGAACCCAGGAGAGGUGAGUGGAAUUCCGAGUGUAGAGGUGAAAUUCGUAGAUAUUCGGAAGAACACCAGUGGCGAAGGCGGCUCACUGGACUGGUAUUGACGCUGAGGUGCGAAAGCGUGGGGAGCAAACAGGAUUAGAUACCCGCGUAGUCCCUGUCUCUUAUAC
rnacentral:rRNA from 1 species